rnacentral:rRNA from 1 species
GGCGCACGGGUGAGUAACGCGUAUCCAACCUGCCCAUCACUUGGGGGAUAACCUUGCGAAAGUAAGACUAAUACCCAAUGACGUCUCUAGAAGACAUCUGAAGGAGAUUAAAGAUUUAUCGGUGAUGGAUGGGGAUGCGUCUGAUUAGCUUGUUGGCGGGGUAACGGCCCACCAAGGCGACGAUCAGUAGGGGUUCUGAGAGGAAGGUCCCCCACAUUGGAACUGAGACACGGUCCAAACUCCUACGGGAGGCAGCAGUGAGGAAUAUUGGUCAAUGGGCGAGGGCCUGAACCAGCCAAGUAGCGUGCAGGAUGACGGCCCUAUGGGUUGUAAACUGCUUUUAUAAGGGAAUAAAGUGGGAGUCGUGACUCUUUUGCAUGUACCUUAUGAAUAAGGACCGGCUAAUUCCGUG